rnacentral:rRNA from 1 species
UACAGAGGUCUCAAGCGUUGUUCGGAUUCAUUGGGCGUAAAGGGCGCGUAGGCGGCGGGGUAAGUCUGGUGUGAAAUCUAGGAGCUCAACUCCUAAACUGCACUGGAUACUGCUCUGCUAGAGGACUGGAGAGGAGACUGGAAUUCACAGUGUAGCAGUGAAAUGCGUAGAUAUCGUGAGGAAGACCAGUGGCAAAGGCGGGUCUCUGGACAGUUCCUGACGCUGAGGCGCGAAAGCCAGGGGAGCGAACGGG